GAUCCCUUCGGGGAUAGUGGCAGACGGGUGAGUAACGCGUGGGAACCUACCUUUAGGUACGGAACAACAGUUGGAAACGACUGCUAAUACCGUAUGAGCCCUAUGGGGGAAAGAUUUAUCGCCUAAGGAUGGGCCCGCGUUGGAUUAGCUAGUUGGUGGGGUAAUGGCCUACCAAGGCGACGAUCCAUAGCUGGUCUGAGAGGAUGAUCAGCCACACUGGGACUGAGACACGGCCCAGACUCCUACGGGAGGCAGCAGUGGGGAAUAUUGGACAAUGGGGGCAACCCUGAUCCAGCCAUGCCGCGUGAGUGAUGAAGGCCCUAGGGUUGUAAAGCUCUUUCAGCGAGGAGGAUAAUGACGUUACUCGCAGAAGAAGCCCCGGCUAACUUCGUGCCAGCAGCCGCGGUAAUACGAAGGGGGCUAGCGUUGUUCGGAAUCACUGGGCGUAAAGCGCACGUAGGCGGACUGAUCAGUCAGGGGUGAAAUCCCGGGGCUCAACCCCGGAACUGCCUUUGAUACUGUCAGUCUUGAGUCCGAGAGAGGUGAGUGGAACUCCGAGUGUAGAGGUGAAAUUCGUAGAUAUUCGGAAGAACACCAGUGGCGAAGGCGGCUCACUGGCUCGGUACUGACGC
rnacentral:rRNA from 1 species